rnacentral:misc_RNA from 1 species
AAGUCGUAACAAGGUUUCCGUAGGUGAACCUGCGGAAGGAUCAUUAUUGAAUGAAUGUAGAGUUGGUUGUAGCUGGUCUUCCCAAAGACAUGUGCACACCUUCUCUUUCAUCCACACACCCCUGUGCACUUGUUAGACGGAUGAUUGUUCCCUUUUAUUAGGGACGGUUUCCGUCUGCUAACACAUAAAACCAUAUUAUUAAAUUUGAAUGUAAUUGAUGUAACGCAUCUAAUACAAAGUUUCAACAACGGAUCUCUUGGCUCUC